UACGUAGGGGGCAAGCGUUGUCCGGAAUUAUUGGGCGUAAAGCGCGCGCAGGCGGUUUAUUAAGUUCGGUGUUUAAGCCCAGGGCUCAACCCUGGUUCGCACUGGAAACUGGUAGACUAGAGUGUAGGAGAGGAAAGUGGAAUUCCACGUGUAGCGGUGAAAUGCGUAGAGAUGUGGAGGAACACCAGUGGCGAAGGCGAGUCUCUGGACAUUUCCUGACGCUGAGGCACGAAAGCCAGGGGAGCAAACGGG
rnacentral:rRNA from 1 species